rnacentral:rRNA from 1 species
CCUACGGGAGGCAGCAGUGGGGAAUAUUGGGCAAUGGGCGCAAGCCUGACCCAGCAACGCCGCGUGAGGGAAGACUGUACAACGUAUCGUAAACUUCUUUUGUCGGGGAACAAAAGCCGAGACUCGUCUCCGGCUAAGUUUACCCGAAGAAAAACCAUCGGCCAACUCCGGGCCCGACGCCGCGUUAAUCCGGGGGAUGCGAGCAUUAUCCGGUUUGAUUGGGUUUAAAGGUUGCGCAGGCGGCAGAUCAAUUCAGCGGUAAAAUGUUGAGGCUCAACCCCGGCCGGCCGUUGAAACUGGUUAUCUAGAGUGGGAGAGAAGUAUGCGGAAUGCGUGGUGUAGCGGUGAAAUGCAUAGAUAUCACGAAGAACCCCGAUUGCGAAGGCAGCAUACCGG